UACGGCCGUAUCACGUUGAAACAUCGGUUCUCGUACGAUCACCGAAGGUAAGCAACGUCGAUCCUGAUCAGUACUUAGAUGGGCGACUGCUUGGAAUAUCAGGUGCUGU